UGCAGAACUGCGGAUUCUUUUGUGUAUAUGCCUACAAGGUGUUUGGUGAAAAUCCAAGCAACCCCUUGAUUUCGUUUCUUGCAGAUAUUUCUAUGGGUUUCUCCAUUAGUAUGUUUUUCCUCAACUACCAUAUCAAUCUGGCAGCCGUUGGCACAUGUGACCUUGGUUGAGGAAUUUGUUCCACAUCUCCUUGUACCAAGAGCAGAUCUGCGCCCCACCUCUCCAGUGUUGGCUCAUUGGCCACCGCGGAUCCUAGCUGUCCUUGGGACGCCAUCAACAGGUGUUGUAUAAUGCUGUUACUUGCUGGUGAUGUUGUUUCUGUGCUGCCUAUGGAGUGACAAUAACGACAUUCAAUUAUGAUGCGUUUGACCGUAACACAAAGAUUAAGGAAAUUAAUUACCAUUUGUCGAUUGACGACUUGAAAAGAAGCAUGGAGGCAACAAAUGGGGUAUUAUUUUGAUCUCAUCUCACACAUUCAAUUACUCUUUGUCCUACUAUAUGGCUUUUUAUUAGUUAUUUACACAUACUCGAUGCAUUGCAAAAUGUCUGUUUCUGGAAAUCGCCAUAUCCCGUAUCCCCGCAACCGUAUUGUCGUAUUUGUCGCUCUAUCAGUGCUUCAUUGGUCUAGCCAGAUGCAAGCGGCAAAAGGCGACUGGGAUUAACCAUCGAUGCUGGUUUUCAUAUCCAAAUACCGGUCUUUGUUGGUAUGUACAUGAGAUGGGGGAAAUCAUGCCUUAAGAGAGCCAGAUGCGGAAGGUACUGUUUAAGAAAUCCGGAUGCUUGCUUGUAAUAUGUUUACAUUGUUUACUCAUGUACAUAUUCCUUUUGUAGAUGUUCCUUUAGGAUUUCUAAAAUUGUUUGUUUACUCAUGUACAUUGUUUGCAUCUGUGAAUAUAUUUUUAUAUUUAGGGAUUUUCCAUUGCCUCUAGAAAGUUGUUUGUUUCAUCCAACGCUUAUGUGUGGUUUUGCAACUACUAAUUUCUGUUAUCUCUAUGUUUGUUGGUGUAUGGCUGCUGCUUUUGCCUUCAUGGGAAAUGAUUAGGCAGGCUGACUACAUAGUAAUUGUUAGUACUCUUUGAUGAUAGAGAAGUAAAGAACUUGUUGUUACUGCAAACUCAGGCUAUGCUAUUGAAAAUGACAUCAGGGGACAGGUAUAUUGAACAUGUGUUGAUCCACUAAUGAUUAGUUUGUUCUUCAGUAACUUCUUCUUCAGUAUCAUAGUUAGUAAACAUAUGAGGUUUGGCAAGUUAGUAUUUACCAUUGAUGCUUGAAAUAAAUAGCAUGACUGGUGUUGCACCAUGUGUGUGUAGGUUUUUCCUUUUAGUUUACUUAUAUAUGCCUCUCCUAUAUUCUAAAACAAAUUCGUGUUGGGGAACGUAGUAAUUUCAAAAAAAUUCCUACGCACACGCAAGAUCAGGGCGAUGCAUAGCAACGAGA